UACGUAGGCAGCGAGCGUUGUUCGGAGUUACUGGGCGUAAAGGGUGCGUAGGCGGUUGUUUAAGUUUGGUGUGAAAUCUCCCGGCUCAACUGGGAGGGUGCGCCGAAUACUGAAUGACUAGAGUGCGGGAGAGGAGAGUGGAAUUCCUGGUGUAGCGGUGAAAUGCGUAGAGAUCCGGAAGAACACCAGUGGCGAAGGCGGCCCGCUGGGCAGUGGCUGACGCUGAGGCGCGACAGCGUGGGGAGCAAACAGG
rnacentral:rRNA from 1 species